AGUGUCCUUCCCCCUCCCCGCCCCGCCCGCCAGCCACCCCUCCACGGGCGGGGUGCGAGCUCACCGGCGCAGCAAACUUGGAGCAGGCUGCCGGGUCGGUGGGAAGAAACUUGGGUUAUUGGAUCUGGAAGAGCAUCCCUCUCCGGGUCCUGGAACCUGGGAGCUGCUAGGGCGGCUGGCCUCUCUGAGCAGUGGAAGAAAGCCAGCUGGGCUUGGAGAGUCCUGGGGGCAUGGGGAGAACCUGCCUGCCGCAGUGCCUGGGGCGAGGAUUGCAGCGGGCCUGGAGGCACACAAUGUCUUGGUCACAGAGCUGCGGCGCUAGGGAUCCGAACCUGGUGGAGACCCAGGACUGAUCCCUGGACCGGGACCCUUGGGGCCUACCGAACAUUUCAGGGUGGUUAUCUUGGAGAUGGUACAUAGGACCUGGAAUUGUCAUAUCCAUUUCUUUGGCAGGAAUACCAGGUUGAAUCAAUAAUCAAAAUUGCUACACAUAUUUUUGUGAGUGGAACAUCUAUACUUGUGUGAGCUGUUCACUGAGAAUCUGUAACCCACAGGACAGGCUGAGAGGUCAGCUAGGAAACAGCAGAGAACAGAAGACAAGACUGCAGUGAUAGAAAAAGAUGGAUAUCAAGCCAAAUGCAACAGCACUGCGUGCUGUCGGGCCACAGCAAAGGAUCCCUGUGCACGCAAAAAGAAAGUUGCACAAUAUGAAGGAAGCAGUAAAAAUGAAAUGAAGUAGAAGAGACAUGCAGAAAGAAAAACGCUCUCGGAUGUGUCACAAUCAUCUUGAUUCUUUACCUGAAAAACCUGUAUUUUUUUCCUUUGUAAUUAUCUAAUAUACUUUGUGUCAAAGAACAAGGACCUGAGUUCCACUUAAAGAAGAUGAAGAAGUUAACAGAUACCGUUCUCGGGUUUUAUCAUGAAGUUAGAAAUGAAAAUUUUCAGUUUCUGGUAGUCAUGAACAGAGAGCCUCAGGUAAGCCCCAGAGUGCAGGCAGACAGUCAGGAUGCUCCUGCGCAGGCUCCUCAGGUGCAGCUGUGCUGGGGGGAAAAAUCAUGCUGUUUAGCCUAAUGAGGCAAAACAGAAUAAAGGCCAAGGUAAUUCAGUAGAGAGGGUCUUAAAUGCACAGCUGUAUCAGCUGCUGACUCCUUCCUACCUGGUCUUCAUUUUUUCUCUGUGCAAUCUGUUUGCUUCCCUACUGGGCCUGCUAACAUUAUCUGAUUCCAGGCCAAACUGAUAUUAAUCAUUUGUUAUGAGGUCCCCCAAAUAAAAUUUGAGUUUGUCUUGUUGGUGUUCCCUGAACUAAAGUUAACUACGUGUGUCAAAUCCUAAAGUCCACUUGUUACACCAGCAUCAGGCUAAGAUGUAAACUCCAUUUGAACUACGGAACAGCUGCACUCCUCUUGAAACUCUACAUGCACAGAGAGAUGUAUGUUUGUAAGUGGACACAAUAGACAGAGUGCUAGUUGGUGUUUUAAAAGCCAAAACCUGGAAUACUUUUCUUUUGACUUCACAUAUGUAGAAAAUUAGGGUGUAAAAUGUACACGAGAAUAAAAUAAUACCAAGAUGAGUAAGUCCAUUAAAAAAUGUAGAUGAGCAAAUGACUUUAGCAUUAUUAAUGCUCACUGGGAAUUUGACAGGCCAAAUGAGCAUGUUUAUACUUGGUAACAAUUAAAAGGCUUACCAUUUUAAUCACUGGGACUUCCGGGAGAACAUGGUGGACAGAUAGCAGCAGCUAUGGAGGCUCUCUGAAAGAACCAGCUUGGAAUUCAGGAAUGGUGCGGAGUAAGGAGUCAUGAGCAGGUAGAGAUAUGCCCUGGUGACCCAAGAAAGAACUGGGCUGAGAGAAACCAACUUGGAGUGCAAUCCUGGUGCUAUAACAGGAACAGAAAAGCCUCAGUGUGGAAGCUGGAGCCCGCACCAUUGAAAGCCAUGAUUUGGGUGUCCCGCCGCGCCGCCAGCUGCGUCUACAUCGGCUUGGCAGGGAGAGAGACUCGCUCUGAGAACGGGAAUCGGCGAACAGAGUUGCAGUAGGUGAGUGAGAGAAACUGACACUCUUCCCACGGUUUGGGAGACUCCAACAGAGGACAUUCUGGGACUGGGCAGACUUGCGGGAGCAGGGUGCUGAGGCGACUUCAGCCACAUACCCCCCCUCUCAAGCGGGAUUGGUGAGAAGUGCCUAGCCUAGGUGACACUGCUGGCUGAGACCCACUGGGCUAGCACAACCCAGAUCCCAGAGCCUGAGGGUGACCUGGAGGGCCGGCCCCGCAUAGGCUGCCUGAUCUGCAACUUCCUGAUGUGCUGCGGUGGGCGGGAACCCCUAGCCAGCGCAAUUCAAUCAGACUGUGGCUGACAGGAAAGGAAGCUGGGCCUCCUAUAUACGCUUGCUUAUAUAAGGAACAAAGAAUAUGGGAAGAGGGAGCAACAACAAGAAAGGCCCUUCGGCCCCCAAUCCUGAGAAACAGGCAAUAGCGGACACUGCACUAAUAGACAUAAAGCGCCAUCUAGAGAGCCUCAUAGAUCAGUUCAGGAAUGAAGUUAUUAAUGACCUGAAGCUAGAAAUAAGCAGAAUAGUUAGAGAAAUGCUAAGCACCACCCAAGAAAAAACAGAUGGUGGAAUGGAAGAUCAGAAAAAGAGGGGAGAAUUGUUUGAUGCAGAAAAUAGAGAAAGCAUAGAAUACGUGAAGCAGGUUCAAAGAGACUACCAGGAAACUAAGAACUCUAUAGAAAACUGGCAUAACAGCUUGAAAGAAACUAAGGACAGACUAUCUGAACUGGAGGGCAGAUUAGUAAUAUGGGAGAAUGAAAUGAAAAACUUCUUAAAAGUAACAAAGAAACAAACAGCAAUAAUACAAAGACAAGAAGAUAAGAGGAUCCAUAACUUAAGAAUUAAGAACAUAAAAGAAGAAGUAGGGACACAAACAAAUGAACUACAAAAGCUACUCACAGAAAUAAUCCAGGAGAAUUUUCCUAAUUUAGCAAAA